GGGUAGAGUAAUGCGUGACCAACCUGCCCCAUGCUCCAGAAUAGCUCUUGGAAACGGGUGGUAAUGCUGGAUGCUCCAACUUGACGCAUGUCUUGUUGGGAAAGUGUUUAGUGGCAUGGGAUGGGGUCGCGUCCUAUCAGCUUGUAGGCGGGGUAAUGGCCCACCUAGGCUUCGACGGGUAGCCGGCCUGAGAGGGCGGACGGCCACAUUGGGACUGAGAUACGGCCCAGACUCCUACGGGAGGCAGCAGUU
rnacentral:rRNA from 1 species